CCUACGGGAGGCAGCAGUGGGGAAUUUUGGACAAUGGACGCAAGUCUGAUCCAGCCAUUCCGCGUGCAGGACGAAGGCCUUCGGGUUGUAAACUGCUUUUGUACGGAACGAAAAAGCUCUUAUUAAUACUAGGAGUCCAUGACGGUACCGUAAGAAUAAGCACCGGCUAACUACGUGCCAGCAGCCGCGGUAAUACGUAGGGUGCAAGCGUUAAUCGGAAUUACUGGGCGUAAAGCGUGCGCAGGCGGUUAUAUAAGACAGAUGUGAAAUCCCCGAGCUUAACUUGGGAACUGCAUUUGUGACUGUAUAGCUAGAGUACGGCAGAGGGGGAUGGAAUUCCGCGUGUAGCAGUGAAAUGCGUAGAUAUGCGGAGGAACACCGAUGGCGAAGGCAAUCCCCUGGGCCUGUACUGACGCUCAUGCACGAAAGCGUGGGGAGCAAACAGGAUUAGAUACCCUGGUAGUCCACGCCCUAAACGAUGUCAACUGGUUGUUGGGUCUUCACUGACUCAGUAACGAAGCUAACGCGUGAAGUUGACCGCCUGGGGGAGGUACGGCCGCGAGUAGUAACGUACGAAGAAGUUAGACGGCGUGAGACGUAGCCGACGGACGACGACGAGGGAGGAGG
rnacentral:rRNA from 1 species